rnacentral:rRNA from 1 species
AUGGCCGCACCGCCGCCGCCGCCGGUGCUCCCGGACGAUGUCGUCGAAGAGAUCCUCCUCCGCCUCCCGCCCGACGACCCAGGCUGCCUCUUCCGCGCCUCCCUCGUCUGCAAGGCCUGGAGGAGCGCCGUCACCCAUCCCCACUUCCGCCGCCGCUACAUCGGGCUCCACCGCCACCGGGCGCCCCCCGUGCUCGGCUUCCUCCACGACUGGGAAGACGAGCGCAUCCCUGACUUCGUCCCCACCACCGCCUCGCCCUUCUCCCUCCCCGCUCCAGACCGCCGGUUCUGGCGCCCCCUCGACUGCCGCCACGGCCGCGCCCUCUUCCUCUACGACCGCGGCCAAGAAACUCAGGAACUCCUCCUGUGGGAGCCAAUCACGGGCGCCCGUCAGCGCAUACCGGUGCCCUCGGCGUUCAGGUGCGCGUGGCCGACCGCGGCCGUGUUCUGCGCAGCCCACGGGUGCGGCCACCGCGACUGUGCGGGGGGCCCCUUCGGCGUGGUCUUCGUCUUCACCCUCGACAUCUCGCCCAACGCAGACGUUGUCACAUCGGCGUGCUUGUACUCGUCGGAGACUGGCACGUGGGGCAAGCUGAACUCGAGGGAAUACGAGUUCAGCAUGGACUUUGAGCAUCAUUCCAGCGUGCUGGUUGGGAGGUCUCUGCUCUACUUCCUCUCCGACGGUGGGAUGAUCCCGGAGUACAAUUUGGGCAGUGGUGAACUGGCUGCGUUCCGCCCACCACCUGACGAUUACGGCAGUGACAACCACAGAUUUAACCUCAUGCUGGCGGAGGACGGUGGGCUGGGGGUUGCCGAAGCCAUUGAUUUUCAGCUCAUAUUGUGGAAAAGGGAGGCGAGUGAUGGCACUAAUGCACGAUGGGUGCUGAGCCGGAUCGUCGACCUGGACAUCGAUCCAUGCACACUUGUUCCAGUGUUGGGCUUUGCGGAGGGAGCAAAUGCUAUUUUCGUGAAAACUAUUGGUAGUCUCUUCAUGAUCGAGCUGCAGUCGGAGCAAGCGAAAAGGGUGUGCCAUAAUCAUGGCUUCUGUAAUUUGAUUCCAGUUGUCAGCUUCUACACUCCACAUUCUAGGCUCCAAGUGCCCAGGGGUGAACACCAGGACCCAGCGCCGCCGCUGAACCUACUGAGGAGGGGUGGUCAGCAAGGGGUAUGGGAGAAGAAAUCACUAGAAUUGGCGCAAUUGCUGUUUGAUAAGGGGUGCAAGGCUAUCAAUGAGAAGGACUUUGCCCACGCGGCUGACUGCUUCAGACAUGCUCUUGAGAUCAGGGUUCGACAUUAUGGAGGCCUUGCUCCUGAGUGUGCUAGCACGUUUUACCGUUAUGGAGGUGCCUUGUUAUGCAAAGCUCGGGAGGCAGCCAAUCGUUCAGGUAAUGUUUCAAAGCGUGCACCAAAUGAAGAAUCAAUCACACCUACAACCAACAAAGAUGAUUGUGAAGAAGGGGCAAACUUGCUUGGCAAAGGUCAGACGGAUGGGAACAUGACAGGCGAUGGAGAUGAUUCUGAUUUGGAUUUGGCCUGGAAAAUGUUGAAUACUGCAAGGGUCAUAGUUGCCAAGAGUCCAGAGAAGACAAUGGAGAAGGUUAAUAUAUUGAUUGCUCUAGCUGAAAUCUCGAUGACAAGAGAGGACAGAGACAGCUCAAUCGGUUACUACUUCGAAGCUUUAGCGAUAUUGGAACAUUUGGUUAGGCCUGACCAUUUUCGAAUUGUCGAUCUAAACAUCCGCAUAUGUUUGGCCUUUGAGUUAGCAUCCAAGGUUGGGGAUGCAAUCCCAUAUUGUGCAAAGGCUAUUUCAUUAUGCAAGUCGCGUAUACAUAAUCUGAAAAUUGCCAAGGAAGCUUUGUUGGCUGAUAAAGACCUUAGAGCAUCUGCUGCUAAAGGACACUCAGGAAAGUUGACUCUGGAAGAGGAGAUAUCUUACCUUGCUAGAAUGUUGCCUCGAUUCCAGAAGAAGCUUGAAGAACUGAAGCAAGCAAUGUCAACCCCAAGCGACGGCAUAGAUAAUAUUAUGAAGAGGGUGGUCUCACAGGCAAGUCAUGAGCAGAGUGUUAACAAUACUAUGGCAAGAACUGCAUCUUUGACUUCUUCACAGAUGGCACGAUCAAACAACAGCUUCCAUUCCCCAACUAUGUCUACGGCAGCACCAAGAGAAAGCAUUGGAAGUAGCGUAACCGACUUUGAGAUUGUUGGCAGAGACAUGAAACGAGCUAAAGAUGAGUCGAUCUCCUACGAACCUUCUCCAAAGAGACUUGCAGCAGAUGAUUCACCAUCCGUGAAUGAAAUUUGA